CAUACAAUCACUGAAGUUAAGCAACGUCAAGCCAGGUUAGUACCUGGAUGGGUGACCGCUUGGGUAUACCAGGUGCUAUA